AGCAGACAUUGGUUUUGCUCUAUCUCUUCUAUAUCCCUCUUAUCUCUAACUAUUGUAGUUUCCUCUUAGAAAGUACAAUAUUGUAUGCACCUUUACCUAGAAGAUCUUUAGAGAUAUAAGCUAGUUAUGUUACAUGAUCCACUGGGGAGACUAGUCUCCCAAAGAAUCAUAGAAGGGAUUGUAAAGAUAGGAUUAACUCUCCCCUUGUCUAUUUUUAGCUAAUCAAAUCAAGAAUUUAAAGCAUCCCACUUAACCAUUAGGUAAGGGAGCUCACAAGUCACUUACUAGUUCACAUCCCCAAAGGCCACAAGAACUGCCUGCCUUGGGCAGUACUAGGCAAAUUGAAAGACUGCAAUUGGUUUCUGUGAAGAGGGGGAAAGACAGGAAAUGAUGUGAAAAAGGGGGUAUAAAAAGAGACCAACAUAGUCUGGGCCUUCUACCAUUCCUUUCCUGGCAUUUGGAAUGAGUGGCUGAGAUCCCUGCCUUGGCUUUGGAGGAGACUCUUUCCUUGGAUCCUGUGUCAACUUGCUGGGUGAGUGGCUUGGGCUGUAGAGAAGGCUGCACUGGUGGACUUUUGACUGAAGGCUCCAGGAGGAGAUCAAGACCUGAAGAAGCCUCCUGCUGGGGUGCUGAACUGGACUUCACUUUGCUGGAGAAACUCUUAGAGCUGUUGAUAACUGGAAAAAAUGUUCUAGAAGCAGUAUGGAAUAAUAAAGAGAAUACUGGACUUGGAAUCACAGAAGACUUGAGUUUACUUCUUGCCUCCAAUGUAUCCUAUACAGGUUUUUGCUGCCAUUAGACAAGGGACUGUCUUACACAUUUCUUCAGUACUUGGCACAUAAUACCAUUCAAAAAAUGCAUAUUUAACAUGUAUGAUCCAGUGGAAUUGCUUGUGGGAAGAGGGGAGGGAGACAACAUGAACCAUGUAACUUUGGAAAACUUGUGCAUAAAUUUGUUAUUGGAAUAAAAAAGAGAUUUUAAAAAAUA
ensembl:lncRNA